rnacentral:rRNA from 1 species
UGAAGAAGGCCUUCGGGUUGUAAAGUACUUUCAGCAGUGAGGAAGGAGGUAUCGUUAAUAGCGGUAUCUUUUGACGUUAGCUGCAGAAGAAGCACCGGCUAACUCCGUGCCAGCAGCCGCGGUAAUACGGAGGGUGCGAGCGUUAAUCGGAAUUACUGGGCGUAAAGCGCAUGCAGGUGGUUUGUUAAGUCAGAUGUGAAAGCCCGGGGCUCAACCUCGGAAUUGCAUUUGAAACUGGCAGGCUAGAGUACUGUAGAGGGGGGUAGAAUUUCAGGUGUAGCGGUGAAAUGCGUAGAGAUCUGAAGGAAUACCGGUGGCGAAGGCGGCCCCCUGGACAGAUACUGACACUCAGAUGCGAAAGCGUGGGGAGCAAACAGGAUUAGAUACCCUGGUAGUCCACGCCGUAAACGAUGUCUACUUGGAGGUUGUGGCCUUGAGCCGUGGCUUUCGGAGCUAACGCGUUAAGUAGACCGCCUGGGGAGUACGGUCGCAAGAUUAAAACUCAAAUGAAUUGACGGGGGCCCGCACAAGCGGUGGAGCAUGUGGUUUAAUUCGAUGCAACGCGAAGAACCUUACCUACUCUUGACAUCCAGAGAACUUAGCAGAGAUGCUUUGGUGCCUUCGGGAACUCUGAGACAGGUGCUGCAUGGCGGUCGUCAGCUCGUGUUGUGAAAUGUUGGGUUAAGUCCCGCAACGAGCGCAACCCUUAUCCUUGUUUGCCAGCGAGUAAUGUCGGGAACUCCAGGGAGACUGCCGGUGAUAAACCGGAGGAAGGUGGGGACGACGUCAAGUCAUCAUGGCCCUUACGAGUAGGGCUACACACGUGCUACAAUGGCGCAUACAGAGGGCGGCCAACUUGCGAAAGUGAGCGAAUCCCAAAAAGUGCGUCGUAGUCCGGAUUGGAGUCUGCAACUCGACUCCAUGAAGUCGGAAUCGCUAGUAAUCGUGAAUCAGAAUGUCACGGUGAAUACGUUCCCGGGCCUUGUACACACCGCCCGUCAC